rnacentral:piRNA from 1 species
UGAGCUAACAGAAGAAUCUUGUCUGCU